rnacentral:lncRNA from 1 species
CCAGUUCACCCAUAACUGCAAUAUUUGUUGCUUUUUUACUUACUCCAAGUAUAAAUUUACAAAAGCUUAAAUGAGCCUUCUCUACUGCCAGGUCUCCACAUAGUUUUUUGAAAUAGUUAUCCCCUUGAGUGUUUAGUUUGUGAAAGUUAAUGUCACCCCAUAUUUCACUGCCAUACAUUAAGACGGAUUUAACUGUAUGGUCAAAAACAUGAAUGAGAGUUUUUAUUUUUGGUUUAUGACCUGAGAAACAUUUUUUUAGUUUAAAUAAGGCCUUUAAUCCUUUAUUAUACAUUUCA